UGAUGAAAAUGCAUAUGCAAAGGUCUGCCUUUAUCUCACCAGGUGAGUGAACAUGGUAGGGAAGGGUGGCAGGCAUGCCCUCCUCAGCACCUCUCUCUCAAUUGCGCCUCCUCUAUUUUCCCAGAGCAUUUGCUCAAGCAUAGCAUCACGCUGUAGUUAAUCUUUUGAUGUGUGUGAGUUUCUUGAGGACAGAGACUUUGUGUCUUCUUAGUAGUUCUAACAUCUAGCACAGUGCCUGGUGUAUAUAGUAGAUAUUUAUUAUUUAUUUUGGGUAAGUGAAUUCAAUGGGGAAAAUGAGUGCCUGGGACUUUCUGAAUUCUUUGUUACUUUUACUUUUGUAGUUGUGUGAAUUACGUGCCUGAGCCUGAGAACUCAGCCCUACUGCGUUGUGCCCUGGGUGUGUUCCGGAAGUUUAGCCGCUUCCCUGAAGCUCUGAGAUUGGCAUUGAUGCUCAAUGACAUGGAGUUGGUAGAAGACAUCUUCACCUCCUGCAAGGAUGUGGUAGUACAGAAACAGAUGGCAUUCAUGCUAGGCCGGCAUGGGGUGUUCCUGGAGCUGAGUGAAGAUGUCGAGGAGUAUGAGGACCUGACAGAGAUCAUGUCCAAUGUACAGCUCAACAGCAACUUCUUGGCCUUAGCUCGGGAGCUGGACAUCAUGGAGCCCAAGGUGCCUGAUGACAUCUACAAAACCCACCUAGAGAACAACAGGUUUGGGGGCAGUGGCUCUCAGGUGGACUCUGCCCGCAUGAACCUGGCCUCCUCUUUUGUGAAUGGCUUUGUGAAUGCAGCUUUUGGCCAAGACAAGCUGCUAACAGAUGAUGGCAACAAAUGGCUUUACAAGAACAAGGACCACGGAAUGUUGAGUGCAGCUGCAUCUCUUGGGAUGAUUCUGCUGUG
rnacentral:sRNA from 1 species